UCUUUCUCUCUCCCGUUUAACUUUCUUCUUCUUCUCUCUCGGUCUCCUCCUCGCCUCUCUUAUCCAUCUUCUUCACCCUCACCAUGAAACCGAAAUUGAAAAAAAAACCUCGAAAGAAAUCAAGUAAACCUUAGAUAUUGUUUCAACCAAACUAAUAAAUCCACCCUUGUAUUGAUUCUUCUUCUAAAAUCCCUCAACUCACUGGUCAAGUUGUAAAUCUCAAAUCUGCCGGGAACAAAUUCAAUCCAAGUUUUUUUUUUGUUUUCCUUCUAGGGUUUCUCUAACUAUAUCUAAAUAAAAUCUUAUGAAUGAUUACUGCUACAACUUUUGCUUUUCUAGGGUUUGAGAAUCUGGAGCCGUUCUUUGAAGAUUUUGAUUGAUUGGAGUCUAGUCUUCAAUUCAAUUGAAGAUGUAUAUUUUGAUUUAAAUUGAUUGAAAACCCCCAGUGAGGGGGAUAAGAGAUGGUUUAUGGAAGCUACAUAGGCUUAGACGGUUGAUGUGGUCAAAAGGAUGAAAGAUAUUACUCUUGGUAUGAAGAAUCCUGAGAAUGUAUUGGAAGAACAAGGUGUUACUUCCGUAGACGUCGAAGGUGCUUGGAACUGAUGAUAGGGGCUUUACUACAAAUGCAAAUGAAGCUCCAUCAAUUUUCACAAUUGUUGGAGAUGAUGAGUAUUGGAGUGGAGAAGCUCAGUCACUUUUUCUACCCUUGGAAAGAAGGCCAUAGUGUUGUCUCCUGAAGUACUUAUUGUUGCAGGAAUUCCUUGUUGUAGGCAAUAACUAGUUCUCCGCAUCAUCUUGAUAAAAGUGAAUCAGUUCUCAGUAUGCUCAAACUGAGAGUAAUUCACUUUAAAUAACUCAUUUGGAAGAGGACCAUGAUAUUGAACUCAGCAAAUUUUAGUGGUAUUCUGAUCCUUGGGCAAGAGGGUUAAAGAAGCAUUUUAAGAGGCUCAAUGCGCUUAAGCAUUCGAUGCUUGUCAAGCUUGGUGGUACCUUUGCUCCAUUCAGUGUGUGAAGAUACUAGUGAUACAAACACCACUGUUUGUAUCUGGCAUAAACACAUUUCUGCAAGUUUUGUUUGGAACCAGGUUACCGGCAGUCAUUGGUGGUUCUUUUGCUGAUAUUGUACCUAUCAUCUGCAUUAUCGGAGACUCAUCUCUACAACGAAUCACUGAACCGCAUGAAAGAUUUUUACACAGUAUGAGGGAAACUCAAGGAUUCCUGAUUGUAGCUGAACGAAGUCAUUGUACUGUUGUUGAUCUGCUUUGCAGGAAGUCGCAUGUGAACCAAGGAAACAACACAUUGAUGCUCUGCUUGAUAUCAUUUGUGAAGUAUUGUCAUAGGAGGAGCUAUCAUUUUGCUUUUCUUUAUCAGUUGUCUAUUUGUUGUCAGAACUUAGCAAUCUUGGACAUGUAUUCUCUGAACUCAGUAUUUCAUUUUAUUUUAUUUUGUGUAGUUUUACACCCAAUGGAAUGAAUGUUAAAAUUCUCAGUUAAAUUUGAAGUUGCACUUGAAUUUCAGUUAAA